UCUCCGUUGGUGAACCAGCGGAGGGAUCAUUACUGAGCGUGUAAAAACACUCAAAACCAUAGCGAACCUACCAGUGGGAUUGUAUCGUUGCCUCGGCGGGGCCUACCCGGUACCGACCCCUUUUGGGCGAAGUUACCCUGUAGCCCGCCGGUGGAUUUUCAAACUCUUGUUAUUUUAAUGUUAUCUGAGCGUCUUAUUUUAAUAAGUCAAAACUUUCAACAACGGAUCUCUUGGUUCUGGCAUCGAUGAAGAACGCAGC
rnacentral:misc_RNA from 1 species